GACGAACGCUGGCGGCGUGCUUAACACAUGCAAGUCGAACGGAAAGGCCCUGCUUUUGUGGGGUGCUCGAGUGGCGAACGGGUGAGUAACACGUGAGUAACCUGCCCUUGACUUUGGGAUAACUUCAGGAAACUGGGGCUAAUACCGGAUAGGAGCUCCUGCUGCAUGGUGGGGGUUGGAAAGUUUCGGCGGUUGGGGAUGGACUCGCGGCUUAUCAGCUUGUUGGUGGGGUAGUGGCUUACCAAGGCUUUGACGGGUAGCCGGCCUGAGAGGGUGACCGGCCACAUUGGGACUGAGAUACGGCCCAGACUCCUACGGGAGGCAGCAGUGGGGAAUAGUGCACGAUGGGCGGAAGCCGGAUGCAGCAACGCCGCGUGCGGGAUGACGGCCUUCGGGUUGUAAACCGCUUUCGCCUGUGACGAAGCGUGAGUGACGGUAAUGGGUAAAGAAGCACCGGCUAACUACGUG
rnacentral:rRNA from 1 species